rnacentral:rRNA from 1 species
CCUACGGGUGGCAGCAGUGAGGAAUAUUGGUCAAUGGACGAGAGUCUGAACCAGCCACGUAGCGUGAAGGAUGACUGCCCUAUGGGUUGUAAACUUCUUUUAUAGGGGAGUAAAUUGUUGCACGUGUGGGAUUUUGUAUGUACCAUAUGAAUAAGGAUCGGCUAACUCCGUGCCAGCAGCCGCGGUUAUACGGAGGCUCCGGGCGUUAUCCGGAUUUAUGGGGUUUAAGGGGAGCGUAGGUGGAUUGUUAAGUCAGUUGUGAAAGUCUCCGGCUGAACCGUAAAAUUGCAGUUGAAACUGGCAGUCUAGAGUAUAGUAGAGGUGGGUGGAAUUCGUGGUGUAGCGGUGAAAUGCUUAGAUAUCACGAAGAACUCUGAUUGCGAAGGCAGUUCACUGGACUGCAACUGACACUGAGGCUCGAAAGUGUGGGUAUCAAACAGGAUUAGAUACCCCGGUAGUC